AGCACAAUAGAAUUUCUGUAAAAAAGAAGCAAUACUUAUAAAGCGUCAGAUUUAAAAUACUAAAGAAACUAUCUCAAUACGCUAGUACUUAUGGAUUGUUGAUGUCCUAGUUUCACGCGUUUGUUAUAGAGCGACCCCGAUUAAUGACACCAUAAAGCUCAGUAAAGACGUAUAUCGCACUCUCGUUAAAACUGAUAUUUUAGCAACACACUAUGCGAUGUUACAUAUUACUAUAUAUCGUAUGUACGA